UACGGAGGAUGCAAGCGUUAUCCGGAAUUAUUGGGCGUAAAGCGUCCGCAGGUGGUUUAUCAAGUCUGCUGUCAAAGCGCGAGGCUUAACUUCGUAAAGGCAGUGGAAACUGAUAGACUGGAGUGCGGUAGGGGCAGAGGGAAUUCCCAGUGUAGCGGUGAAAUGCGUAGAUAUCGAGAGGAACACCUGCGGCGAAGGCGGGUUGCUGGGCUGACACUGACGCUGUUGCGCGAAAGCUAGGGGAGCGAACGGG
rnacentral:rRNA from 1 species